GCGAGGGUAGCCAAGCCCGGCCAACGGCGUCGGACUUAAGAUCCGAUCCCGCAGGGGUCCGCCGGUUCGAAUCCGGCCUCUCGCA
rnacentral:tRNA from 3 species